GCAGGGGAGAAAAGACGCCGGUCCGCCGGGGACCAGGAGGGAGACGUGAAACCAGAGGCCCGGGGGCCCCCUCUCCGCCUGUGCGACUUGUAGUCUCGUACCAGACGCGUCCGCUUCACUGCUGAAUCUGAAAACGUGGGCUCUUGAGAGCUGCCCUUGGAAGGAGCUGUGCUUUCUGCCUCAUCUUUAACUUUUCGUUUAUUCAGCAAAUAUGUAUCAAGUUCCGACUUCGUGGAAGAGAUUGUGUUAGACACUGGGAGUAAUAGAAACAUAAUUAAGAAGCAGGGGUCCCGGACCUGAAGGGCCUGAGCGUCGGUUCUGAAGGCUGAGAAGUUCAAGAGCAAGUGCUGGCAUCUGAUGAGGGCCUUCUUGCUGUAUCAUCCUACGGUGGAAGGGUUUCACUGUAUCUCCCAGGCUGGAAUAUAGUGGAGAUCAUGGCUCACUGCAACCUUGACCUCCUGGGCUCAAGCGGUCUUCACACCUCAGCCUCCCCAGUAGCUGAUCCUACAGGUUCUUUCAAACUGGGAAAGCUCAUUAAAAGAAAAAUGAGAAAAUCUAUUGGCUGGAUCCUGAACCCUUGGAAGCUCUGUCUGGAUACAUUCUUCUCUGGCAGUGUCAAGUCAUGGAUACCAAAGAAGUCUCCAGACAUUGUCAGUGUCCCCCUUGGGGCAAAGUUGCCCAUGGAUGAGAGUCACUGAUCUACCAUGACCCAGAACAGUCAAGGAAAGGAAAAUGCAGGAAAAAGUGAGGGGAAGACCCUGGAUGUCUUACAGCCCAGAACAGAGUGGACCUAAGAUACUGGCCUCUAGUUAAGAGAGUCUUUUCAUGAAGAAUGAGGCCUUAGGUCCAGAGUAGAAGAAACACCAAAGCACAUUUGCUGAAUAAACAGAUAAACAUUUUUAGGUUGAUCUCAAAACUCCAGAAGACAAGAAACCUUGUGUGUUCUUUUUUUUUUUUUUUUUUUUUUUUGAGACGGAGUCUUGCUCUGUCGCCCAGGCUGGAGUGCAGUGGCGCUAUCUCGGCUCACUGCAAGCUCCGCCUCCCAGGUUCAUGUCAUUCUCCUGCCUCAGCCUCCCGAGUAGCUGGGACUACA
rnacentral:lncRNA from 1 species